UUGAAAGGGAAACGAUUGAAGUCAGUCGUACCAGCGGGAAAUCAACCUUUCGAGUGGGGUUUUGGAGUUUUUUGAAGAGUGUCAAAACCUUUAUUUCAAAAUAUUCGCUCUUUUGGUGUACUUUCUCGUGGGUAGGUUAACAUCGAUUUUGAUCAUCAUAAAAAGAUUGGAGGAAUGUAGCUUCGAUCUUGUAUUGAAGUGUUAUAGCCUUUGGUAAAUGUGAUGAUUAGGAUCGAUGAUUGCAACGAAUACCCUUUUGGGCUAUCCGCCUGAUCUCUGAUACGUGGCCUUGGUAUCGAAAGCGUGCUUAUGGUAUUGAGGUAUUACGGUCAAAAGGUUAGAACGGAUUACAUUCGUUAAGGAUGUUGACGUA
rnacentral:rRNA from 1 species